UCCAUUGACGGACAGACCGGACAGCCGAAGAGGGGAGACCGACUUGGGGACGGGGCGGCGGCGCUGUGCCUGCCGAUUGCUGGCCGGCGCGGCGAAGGACUCCGGCGCGUGCGGCACAUAUGGCAGGCCGCUCGGCUUGUCACGCCGUUAUGCAGAGGUCGUCGGAGGGGACGCGCGGCAGGGGCCAUACCGCCGACUCGCCGAGGAAUCUGGAGUUGUUCUGGUUUGAGCGGUGGCGGGGGCGUGAUUUUCAGGGACGAAGAUGGAGCUUUCAGGGGAGCCGCAUCCCAUUUCUUUCCGGACUGCUCCAGGCUGGAUAUGGCUGAGCUUCUGGCAUGCAAAAAAGCGAUUUAGCUAGCCAUUCAGAGAGACAUACAGAGGCUGCACUUGGAAACGGACUCGCAGGUGGUUGCUGGGAUGCUGGCAGGAAAGGAGAGGAAUUUGUCGCCUGUAGGACAAGUGGUCGAAGAGGUCAAGGCCAUGAUCAAAACUAGAGAUGAUUUCAGGCUAACCUGGGUCUGGAGGACGGCUAAUGGGGCUGCCCAUUUAUUGGCAAAACUAGGUGCUAGUUCUAGUGUUUCGUUUUUUUUGGACUUAGUUCCCUCAGAUUGUAUUCUCAGCACUGUUUCAGACGAGAUCCCUAAUAUAGUUUAAUAAAGUAUUAAAGUGGGGUUUUGAAGCUUAAA